UACGUAGGGUGCAAGCGUUAUUCGGAUUUAUUGGGCGUAAAGCGCAUGUAGGCGGUUUGAUAAGUCUGGUGUGAAAGCCCUCGACUUAAUCGAGGAAGUGCAUUGGAUACUGUCAAACUAGAGUGCAGGAGGGGUAAGCGGAAUUCCAGGUGUAGAGGUGAAAUUCGUAGAUAUCUGGAGGAACAACAGCGGCGAAGGCGGCUUACUGGACUGUAACUGACGCUCAGAUGCGACAGUGUGGGGAGCGAACAGG
rnacentral:rRNA from 1 species